rnacentral:rRNA from 1 species
UACGGAGGAUCCAAGCGUUAUCCGGAAUCAUUGGGUUUAAAGGGUCCGUAGGCGGCCUUAUAAGUCAGUGGUGAAAUCUCCCGGCUCAACCGGGAAAUGGCCAUUGAUACUGUAGGGCUUGAAUUAUUAGGAAGUAACUAGAAUAUGUAGUGUAGCGGUGAAAUGCUUAGAUAUUACAUGGAAUACCGAUUGCGAAGGCAGGUUACUACUAAUACAUUGACGCUGAUGGACGAAAGCGUGGGGAGCGAACAGG